UCGAAAAAUCACUGCAACAUGCAAAAUGACUUACAUUGAGAAAAGGCUACUUCCGGUUGGUGCAUGGUGAAACAUCCAGGACUUUAACCUGACUCCUGCAAGAGGAUAACAUCGAUCAACAGAUCAUGCAUACAAGAUGGUGUUUUCUCAAACCACAGCCAUUAAUCGGUCCAAUACAUUAAUGACGAUUUGUAUCUUUGUUUUGAUGACUUACAGACAGUUUUAUCUGAACCGCUUGAUGAAAUUUUCUUAGUAGGUGAAUAUAUAAUUCUUUUGACAUUUAACUUUAUAUUAGAAAGGUAAAAAUACUAAUCUAUUAUAAUAUUUUCUUGGUUGUUCAGAUGUGCUAGGACAUGUUUUGGAUUGUCAAUUCAAUUUACCGGUGGCAAGGAAAGAAAGAAACUUGAGUUCACCCUUCGUGGCAUCAAGUAAGGAUUCGUAUAAUUCAAUUUGUAUAUAUUUAGUAAGUUUGUUAUUUUAAGAUUUGUUAUUGAUUAUUGAUAUGUUGAUAGUGAUGUUCGGUUACCAUGUUGCCUAUGGUGUAACUUGGCCGAGCUUCUCUACUCUUCUUUCAAAGAAGAAGAUGGAAUGGUGGUUUGUUGUUAAGCUGGGCUAAAAUUGUAAGGUUUAGAGGUGACAAUUUCAUCUACACAUUUUUUUAUACUAUCUAUAUUUAUCAAAAUUUGACUAACGUUAACUGAACCUGUUAUAUAAUUUCAGGACAACUUCAAAUCUCUAACGCAUUUGACGCUUCUCAAGUGUUGAUCAAUCCGGCAAUACCACAAGUAGAUGAAUUUAAAAAUACGUGAAUUCUAAUGCUAUGUUAUGUUCUCGAAGCGUCUCUAUUUUUUGUGUAAAAAGUUAAUGUAAUAUGUAGUUUUGUAAAUUACAGGUACAGUGGGGAUACAUCACUUACAAUGAUUCAAGGUAAUGAGGUUAUGCCAAUGGAAAACAACAACCAGCUGGAGUUCAGCGUGAUAAGUGAUUGACUUUCCCCACUAAAAACAUUCAAGAAAUUCAAGCAUCAAGUCAGGUAAUGGCUUUAAAAAUCGUGCCUGAAAAAUUGAUAAUAUAAUGGUAACCUCCUAUAUGUUUCAGAGUAUAGUAUCAUGAAUCAAAAUCGUGCAUCAAAAUACUUUUCAUGUUCAACCAGAUCGUCCUCUUGGUCUUCUGCAUGUACCGAACUGAAAAACUAAAAAUAUUAGGAGAAAAAGGAGACAAAUCGAAAUCAACAGUACCUCAGAUUGUAAUGGCUGGCAAACAGAUUUCAAUCUCUUGCUUCGAGAUCGUUAUUGUUUUGUAGGAUAUGAAAUUUUGACCCAUCGCACCUCUGUUUCUCCCUUGAAUGGAAUCGUCGGGAGAGUUCCAGAAAAAAAUAUCAAGAGAAUUUUUUUAAAAAAAGGUUUACAUUUUGUUAUUUUUUGUUUAAACGGAAUGGUUACAAAGUCAAAUAUUAGUUUAUUGGACCGUAAUACAUGCAAACCCAACUUUAACCCACGAGGCUCAUUUGUGUAGAAUAUAUUUUUGUAUUUUCCACUAUCAAUUAAAAAACUCAGUUCUGUUAAAAGAUUAUAGGUUAGAUUUAAGAAUUUAACAAAGUAUUAUAACUACAAUUACUAAUAAAAAAACAAAUUACAUAACAAUUACUAAGAAUAAAAUUUUGUAAAUUAUGAGUACAAAUAAGUAUAUUAUAAACCAUAAAAAAUCAAAAAAAAAUUGUUAAUUGAUUAAAUUAUUUUAUAUUAAUUGCAUAAUCUUAUAAUAAAAAAAUUGACAGAAAUUUUAAAACGAAACAAAUCCCGCGCUUUGAAAGCGCGGGUCAAAAUCUAGUAUGCUUUUAAUAGGAAAACGAAAAAUUAUGUGUAUUCUUAUUUAAUUUGGCACUAGUGGGCGGGCUACACGUUUGUGGCCGCUUAAAUGUGAUUUGUAACUUUUAGAAUUACAGUUUUAUGAUGCAAUAUUUGUGAUCUUUUAAACAUUCUUUACUUUUCAGUUUAGUAGUAAAAGGGAAGGAGUUUUAAAAAAUCUACUUAUACUUGUUGGACAUAUUCAUUAACUAUUUGUUAUUUUUUUAUAUUUCCAUUAUUUUCUCUAACUAUACCAUAGUCUAAAUAAUUUAUUCUUUAUUAUGCUGAGAUUUGUCCUUAUUAUUCUGAGAUUUUGUAUGCCUUUUUUAUCAACCUGAGAGUUUAGUAUGUUUGGUCGGUUUAUAUGCCUUUCACCAACUGGAAUAUUUACCAUUUUUUCCAAAAAAAAAAUAUUUACCGCGUUUUGCCUUUUUAUUUAUUUUUAAAAUACCACAAGAAAAAGGCUAACCAAAUAAAUUUACUUUAUAAACUGAAAUAUGUGUUCGUAUUACAAUCUAUACGUGCAAAUUAACACGUUCGACUAACAUAUGAUUCUGGUUAAAUCACAAUCACGAUAUUUUGUGUAUGUUGCCGCGAUGAGCAAUAAUUUCGUAUUUCAUCAGUUUCAUUUGUAACAAAUAUUAUAAUUUGCUUCCUCAGAAUAAAAUUUUCUCACUAACAUUAAAAAUAAUAAUAAUUUGAACUAUAAAUACAUGUAAAAUCUGUACGUCAACAUAUAAAUCUUUUGGGCAUGUGAAUUUGAGGAUGUAGCUGGUUCCAGUUUCAAAAAUUAUUAGUCGACGAUAGGUGAGACUUGAGAUUACUUGGUUUAUCGGUCCGACUUCUGGUAAUCAUUUUAAAUAUAUAGUAAUAGAAAAGAAAAAAAUAAUUAUUAUAAAAUAUUGUUAUUUAAUAUAAGUUUAAGAACUAUAUUAUAAACUCUACAAAUCUGUACUAUUAAAUUAGCCAAAAAUACGUAAAUUAAUCUCAGGUCUCACCAAUUUAACAAAUGUAAUUAUUAUAAAUGCACACAAAUAAUAAUGAGAAAUACAAUAAGCAUGGCCAUAGAAUCUUCGGGUUGGUACAGAUCGGUUCAUUUCGAGUUUGAGUCCUUCAGAUUCUAGACAUUUGGACUUAAUUAGGUAUUUGAAAUUCUAAUGUUUGGGUUAAGGUUGGUCUUUUUUUUAUAGAUUUAUAUCCAUAAUUCAAAUACCUAUAAAAUAUCUGUAAUUUUGAAUACAUAAUAGGUCUGGAUCAGUUCGAAUAUUUAAGACUCGAAAAAGAUUUAAAAUAUCCAAAAAACUUAAAAUUACUCGAAAACCCAAAAAAUACCUGACAGAAAAACAUACCCGAAAACUCAAACGAAUACCCAAAAAUAUUUCAUAUCAUACAGUUCGUAAUAUAAUAAUGUACAACAAUCACAAAAUAUUAUUUCCUAUCAAAAUUUAUAUAUAAUCCAAAAUAAUCUGCGCUUUUGAAGCGCGGAUCAAAAUCUAGUUGAUGUUUAAAGUUAUAUCUAUUAAACAAAACAAAAGACAAAACGACACAGCUUCAGUUAUGGAUCAAAAGGAAAAGCCAAAGUGGACCAAGAAGAAAACAAGCCCAAACGAGAAGAGAAGACAGAAGAUAAAAGCCCACUUACCUGCGAUUUACCCGCAUAACGGUUAAAUUAAAAAGAGAAAGAUAAAAACAAAAAAGAAUGACUUAUAAAGUCGAGUUGCAUAAGCUUUAAUGGGGGUGAAAUUGUACAAUCAAUUUUCAACCCUUGAUUAUCUUGAAGACUGAGAUGGUGCUAUAUGUAUAUCAUACUAGGAUUUACUACUAAGCUUAUAAAUAGCUUCUCUUUGUAAUCACAAAACUUCAAGAUGAAUGAGAUGCAUUUUCAGUAAACAAAAGCUCUGUCUUCUUCAUUUAGACUUUCUUACAAAUCUCUUUAAUACAAUAUAUGUGUAUGCAAUAAAUAAUUCAUGCAUGUUGAUAUAUAGUAUUCAGAUGUUUGUAUCAUAUUCACUAUCCACUUAGUUUGAUGUUUACAUUUCUAUGAUUUCUCACAAAGAAGUGUUUUUUCUUAUUCGAAUAUUACGUGUUUUGUUAUACAUCUCGUAUGGCAUCUAGUAAAUCACGUAAAAUAUGAUAUUACAAAUUAUGAAAAAUUAAAUUAUGUUUAUAUCAUGUAUGUGUAUUAGUAUAAAGUUAAUUAAUAUGGUAUAUCAAAGUUAAAGUGAUUUCAUUUGUUAAUUUUUCUCACGAGUUAUACCGCCAUGGGCCAAUCUUAUCACACAAAUAACUAUGUCAUUACAAUCUAUAUUAUAAAUGUAGGAAAUGAUUAGAUUUCAAUUUACAUAUUUUAAAUUACAAAAUCAUAUACUCAACAAAACUUUAGAUAUGUUAUAUUACAAGUUAGUCCAUAAUAAGAAGGUUUAAAGCGGACAAUCACUUCCAAAAACGUAAGUACUUAACAUAUAUAUAAACGAUAUGUAAUAAGACAUAGCAUCACUGUUGAAUCCAUGUUGGAUCAAAUUCGAUUUUAGCACAUUUUCCUCGCUCUGUAUUCAAUAGACUACGCUAAAUACAUGUCAGUAAUAUUUAAAUGAUUUAAGAGUUCACCUUGCUAAAUGUAGUUUACUCGCCAGAAAUGCAAAGCUACGAAGGUUUUAUGGUACUUACUCAACCACCAAUUUUCAUAUCCAAUUCUCGAGCAUCCUGUCCAGGCUUCACAUACCAACUCACACCCACUGUAUAGUAUUGUUAGUGACAUACAUAUAAGAUGAAAGUUAAUUUUAAAAAGAAGUUUAUUUGAUGGUUAUGAGUUACUUAAAUUAAAAAUAGUAAUUACCUUUCAUCCACCAGCUUAAAAUUAGUUUUAGUCAAAGGUACACCAAAAAUAUCCUCAUAAAGAUCAUCCACAGACUGAGUUUAAGUUCCAAAUGUAGUAAUUCAUCCAAACAAUUCUACAAAAGUCGAUAAUUGUUAGGAUAUAAAUUAUGUUACUAAUAUAUAACUGUUGUAUAAUAAAAGCUGAGGUUUAGUUUAUAUUUAUUAUUCAAUAUAUUUGUGUAAAUGUGAUGUUGACAAGAGAGAAAAAGUAUUCGCUUUUGGGUUUGGUAUAAGAAGGUAAAAGAACGAGAGAGAGAGAUUUGAGGCUAAAGUGAAAGAGAGAGGGGAGGUGACAGCUUUUUCUUUUUAUUCAGAUAUGUUCUUGUUGUACAUCCAAAUAUAUGAGACACACACACUAUUUAUAGUGCAAAAGAGUCGGUCACUUAUACCGACUUCCAAGAAAGAGACAAAAUAAGAAAGGAUAAUAUUUAUCCAAAACAUCAAGUGGAUACUCAUAUCAUU
rnacentral:lncRNA from 1 species